CCAAUAGCGUAUAUUAAAGUUGUUGCAGUUAAAAAGCUCGUAGUUGAAUUUCGGGGUUAGUAGGUUGGUCAUGCCUCUGGUAUGUACUGGUCUCACUGAUUCCUCCUUCCUGAUGAACCGUAAUGCCAUUAAUUUGGUGUUGCGGGGAAUUUGGACUGUUACUUUGAAAAAAUUAGAGUGUUUAAAGCAAGCUAACGCUUGAAUACAUUAGCAUGGAAUAAUGAAAUAGGACGUUCGAUCCUAUUUUGUUGGUUUCUAGGAUUGACGUAAUGAUUAAUAGGGAUAGGUGGGGGCAUUAGUAUUCAAUUGUCCGAGGUGAAAUUCUUGGAUUUAUUGAAGACUAACUACGGCGAAAGCAUUUGCCAAGGAUGUUUUCAUUAAUCAAGAACGAAAGUUAGGGGAUCGAAGACGAUCAGAUACCGUCGUAGUCUUAACCAUAAACUAUGCCGACUAGGAAUCAGACGAUGUUAAUUUUUUAAUGACUCGUUUGGCACCUUACG
rnacentral:rRNA from 1 species